rnacentral:antisense_RNA from 1 species
GUGGGAGGGGGCUUGCUCCCGAUGACGGCGUGUCAGCCAAGUAUUCAUUAGCUGGACCACUGCUAUCGGGAGCAAGCCCCCUUGUUU